AGAGUUUGAUCCUGGCUCAGAACAAACGCUGGCGGCGUGUCUUAAGCAUGCAAGUUGAGCGGCAAGGAGGAGAGAUCCUCCCUAGAGCGGCGGACUGGUGAGUAACGCGUGGGUAAUCUAUCGUAGGCAUGGGGAUAGUCACUAGAAAUAGUGGGUAAUACCGAAUACGUUCCAUGAGGGGAGUAUUCAUGGAAGAAAGGGUGCUACGGCACUGGCCUUAGGUGAGCUCGCGUCCCAUUAGCUAGUUGGUGAGGUAAAGGCCCACCAAGGCGAUGAUGGGUAGCCGGCCUGAGAGGGUGUACGGCCACACUGGGACUGAGAUACGGCCCAGACUCCUACGGGAGGCAGCAGCUAAGAAUAUUCCGCAAUGGACGAAAGUCUGACGGAGCGACGCCGCGUGGAUGAAGAAGGCCGAAAGGUUGUAAAGUUCUUUUGCUAGGGGAGAAUAAGUGAGGGAGGGAAUGCCCUCAUGAUGACAAGGACUAGCGAAUAAGCCCCGGCCAACUACGUGCCAGCAGCCGCGGUAACACGUAGGGGGCGAGCGUUGUUCGGAAUUACUGGGCGUAAAGGGCAUGUAGGCGGCUUGGUAAGCCUGGCGUGAAAGACUGCAGCUUAACUGUAGGGAUGCGUUGGGAACUGCUUAGCUUGAGUUACGGAGAGGGAGCUGGAAUUCCUGGUGUAGGGGUGAAAUCUGUAGAUAUCAGGAAGAACACCGAUGGCGAAGGCAAGCUUCUGGUCGAUAACUGACGCUGAGGUGCGAAAGUGUGGGGAUCAAACAGGAUUAGAUACCCUGGUAGUCCACACUGUAAACGAUGUGCACGAGGUGCUGGGGCGGUAGUUUCAGUGCCGGAGCGAACGCGGUAAGUGCACCGCCUGGGGAGUAUGCUCGCAAGGGUGAAACUCAAAGGAAUUGACGGGGGCCCGCACAAGCGGUGGAGCAUGU
rnacentral:rRNA from 1 species